CGAGUCUUAAUUGGGCGUUAAGUUGCAGGGUAUAGACCCGAAACCCGGUGAUCUAGCCAUGGGCAGGUUGAAGGUUGGGUAACACUAACUGGAGGACCGAACCGACUAAUGUUGAAAAAUUAGCGGAUGACCUGUGGCUGGGGGUGAAAGGCCAAUCAAACCGGGAGAUAGCUGGUUCUCCCCGAAAGCUAUUUAGGUAGCGCCUCGUGAACUCAUCUCCGGGGGUAGAGCACUGUUUCGGCUAGGGGGCCAUCCCGGCUUACCAACCCGAUGCAAACUGCGAAUACCGGAGAAUGUUAUCACGGGAGACACACGGCGGGUGCUAACGUCCGUCGUGAAGAGGGAAACAACCCAGACCGCCAGCUAAGGUCCCAAAGUCAUGGUUAAGUGGGAAACGAUGUGGGAAGGCCCAGACAGCCAGGAUGUUGGCUUAGAAGCAGCCAUCAUUUAAAGAAAGCGUAAUAGCUCACUGGUCGAGUCGGCCUGCGCGGAAGAUGUAACGGGGCUAAACCAUGCA
rnacentral:rRNA from 1 species